AUUGAACGCUGGCGGCAUGCUUUACACAUGCAAGUCGAACGGUAACAGGGAGCUUGCUCCGCUGACGAGUGGCGAACGGGUGAGUAAUGCGUCGGAACGUGCCGAGUAGUGGGGGAUAACGCAUCGAAAGGUGUGCUAAUACCGCAUACGAACUGAGGUUGAAAGUGGGGGACCUUCGGGCCUCACGCUAUUCGAGCGGCCGACGUCUGAUUAGCUAGUUGGUGAGGUAAAGGCUCACCAAGGCGACGAUCAGUAGCGGGGCUGAGAGGAUGGUCCGCCACACUGGGACUGAGACACGGCCCAGACUCCUACGGGAGGCAGCAGUGGGGAAUUUUGGACAAUGGGCGCAAGCCUGAUCCAGCAAUGCCGCGUGCAGGAUGAAGGCCUUCGGGUUGUAAACUGCUUUUGUACGGAACGAAAAGCCCUGGGUUAAUACCCUGGGGUCAUGACGGUACCGUAAGAAUAAGCACCGGCUAACUACGUGCCAGCAGCCGCCGUAAGAC
rnacentral:rRNA from 1 species